rnacentral:tRNA from 1 species
GUCAGGAUGGCCGAGCGGUCUAAGGCGCUGCGUUCAGGUCGCAGUCUACUCUUGUAGAUGUGAGUUCGAAUCCCACUUCUGACA